GAUGAAGAACGCAGCGAAAUGCGAUACGUAAUGUGAAUUGCAGAAUUCAGUGAAUCAUCGAAUCUUUGAACGCAUAUUGCGCUCUCUGGUAUUCCGGAGAGCAUGCUUGUUUGAGUAUCAGUAAACACCUCAAGUCAAGGAUAUUAUUUCCAAGACUUGGAUUUGAGUGAUCCUAACACAAAUCAUCAUCAUUUUGAUGAUGAUGAGGGCAGGUCACUUGAAAUUCAGGUGCAGCUGAACUUUUCUUCUGAGCUAAAAGCAUUAUUUUAUUUAGUCUUUAUUGACUAUUACUUUUUGCUGCAGCUAAUAUAAAGGAAGAAGAGCUCUUUAAUUGCUGACUGAUGCAGGAAUUUAUCAGUUUUGUAACAAAGACUGUUAGACUCGAUCUCAAAUCAAGUAAGACUACCCGCUGAACUUAAGCAUAUCAAUAAGCGGAGGA
rnacentral:misc_RNA from 1 species